CCGCCGGCUGCUGCGGGGAGGGCCGAGAAGACGGGUGUGUGUACCUUUAAGAGAAAAGGAAAGCAGGAAGUCGCUGUGGGGCAGCCAGAGGAGCCGUAAACUGACUGGGGCGCCUGCGUGGAGCUUGCAUGGGGUCUCGCUGACCAAGCCUGCCAGUCCCUCGUGGGGGAAGUUGAGCUGUGAUCUCUGGAGAGAACCGACUGUCCAAUUUCAGGUGGUUUCCUAUCCCACCUCAGACUUCCUUCAACUACUUGCAUUCAGAGUCUCUCCUGGAAAAGGGAUCUCAAGACUUGGAUUUCCCAACAUCAUUUUGCAUAAGUGAGAGGAGAAAUUGCUCAGUUGAUGGAAAACCUGACCCAGCUUGUUUCUUGCCUGCUGGUGACAUUUGCUGCCUGCUUCCAUCUACCUUGCAGCUCGUAAGCAGACCACUGCCUUUCUGGCCAUGCAAAGCACGCUGAACUACCUCUGGAAAACGGAUGAUGUGCUGGGUCAAGGUGCCACAGCCAGUGUGUACAAAGCCCGUAACAAGAAAUCAGGAGAACUGGUUGCUGUGAAAGUCUUCAACAAUGCCAGUUACAUGAGACCUCAGGAGGUGCAGAUAAGGGAGUUUGAGGUGCUGAGGAAGUUAAACCACCAGAACAUUGUCAAGCUUUUUGCCGUGGAAGAGAUUGAAAGCUGCAAACAGAAGGUGUUGGUGAUGGAGUACUGUUCAGGUGGGAGCCUGCUGAGCCUUUUAGAAGACCCAGAAAAUGCCUUUGGCUUGUCAGAAUCAGAGUUCCUCAUAGUGUUGCACUGUGUAGUGGCUGGCAUGAACCAUCUCCGUCAGAAUGGGGUUGUCCACAGAGAUAUCAAACCCGGAAACAUCAUGAGGCUGGUGGGAGACGAUAACCAAAAUAUCUACAAACUGACUGAUUUUGGGGCUGCCCGAGAACUAGACGAUGAUGAAAAGUUUGAAUCAGUUUAUGGGACAGAAGAAUAUCUUCACCCAGACAUGUAUAAGCGAGCAGUGCUGAAGAAGCCCCAACAGAAGGCUUAUGGGGUGACCGUAGAUCUUUGGAGUAUUGGAGUGACAUUUUACCAUGCAGCCACAGGCAGCCUCCCAUUUAUCCCAUUUGGGGGACCACGCAGGAACAAGGAAAUCAUGUACAAAAUAACAACUGAGAAACCUACUGGAGCUAUAGCAGGAACCCAAGAGCAAGAGAGUGGAGCCAUCAUGUGGACCUAUGAGCUUCCAAUCACAUGCCGGCUUUCUGUUGGGCUGAAGAGGCAGCUUGUCCCCAUCCUUGCAAGCAUCCUAGAGGCUAAUCAAGAGGAGUGCUGGGGCUUUGAUCAGUUUUUUGCUGAAACCAAUGACAUCUUGCAUAGAAAGAUAAUCCACGUCUUUUCUUUGUCGCAAGCUACCAUGCACAAGAUCUACAUCCACUCCUACAACACAGUCCCCAUAUUUUUAGAAGAUGUCUUCAGGCAAACAAAUAUACCUCCCCAUCACCAGGAGUAUUUCUUUGAGGGUUACUCCUAUGAACUGGAGCCUAACCUGCAAGCGCAUCGUUUCCCCAAAACCACUGAAACCUGCCCUCUUAUCAUGCUGAGCACAGAACUUCGGGAUCCAGUGAUGCUGAGAUACAGAGAUCCUGCUUUGGAGUUUCCAAAAUUCCCCCCAAAAGUUGAUGUCGUUGCAGAUUGCAGCACAGCAAAGGGUGUCCUGACUGCAACUCACCAGACGUUGAGGAUAUCUCAGUCCUUUCUGCAGUGUCAAGAGCUCAUGCUCAGAGGCCUAUAUUGGGUGAGUGAGACCCUGAAAUUGGAGUGUCUGCGGAUUCUAGAGAAGAAGCAAGGUGUGAUGGCAACACUCAGUUGCUUGCAACGAGAAGAGAUGAAGGUUCUGCUGCUGUACGAGACUAUUGUUGGGGUUGGCGAGAUUCCAGAGAUUAAAGGCCUGGCGGAACUGAAAACAAGACUUCAAGCUGUUGAAGAAAUUUCUAAAUGUUUCCAAAGCAUCUCUGAUCACCAGUCGGUUGUGCAAUGCAUUCUGUCUGAUGUGGGAAAGAAAAGGAGUCAAAUAAAAGAAGUCAGAAGCAUCCAGCAGAUGGAGGCUUGCCUUGACAAGAUGCAGCUUAUCUACAACCAGUUCAAGAAGACCCGGAAAUGCAGGAGCCUGGGCUACAAUGAACAGCAGAUCCACAAGCUGGAUAAGGUGAAUUUAGGACAUUUAGCAAAAAAGGUUCUUUCAGUUUUCCAGGACAACUGUUUGCAGCAAUACAAAGCUGCUCUUUUGGCACAUGGAAUUAUAAUGAGGAAGGUGUUUGACCUGAAGAAGAGUUUGAAGAAGCUGAACAGAUCUUUAACCUCCUGUAGUGCAGAGAUGUCAGGGUGCCAGGAUUGCCUUGAUAAAGCUUUGGAUGAGUUGCCUCAGAGAAUCCUCCAAGGCAAAACAACACAUUCUGCACCUACACAAGUUUACAUGAACCAGAAGCACCAAGACAUGGUGUUUGGGAUGCAAGAACUUCAGGACCAGAUGAAAAUAGUAGCUCACAAUCUCCAGCUCAACAAUAGCAUCAUCCAGCGGUUAAAUGGUGUUGCACCAGGACUGUAGGGAUGAGAGGAGGCUGCAGAGCCUGAAAUUAUAAUGCGGCUUGUGAAGGCUCAGCAGUCAACAGAAAGUGAAGCAAAUGAGGAGGAUAUCAGACUGUUCCCCAGAUCCCAUGGAAAAGCAAAUAAUCUCUCUGUGCAUGUUUCUCUCUGCCUGUCUGGCAGGAGGUGUCCCAGGGGGAGAGAUGAUGGAAGCAGCCAGAAGGGAGCAUCCUCUCAAAAUUCCAAAUGUACUCAUUUGGCCCAACCCCAAUCUAUUUUGCGUCUCUUUAAACUUGCUUAAAUGGUCUCAGUUGUAUUGCUCCGCUAUUCCUAUGAAGUUUGCUUUUAUUUCUACUUAUGCUCGCCUCUUUUUUUGUAUUUGAUACAUCUCUAUGUCCUGCAGCUAAUACAUUGAAAUUGUGCUCAUCGUUUAGUUCUCACAGUAGCUGAAAACAUGAACACAAUGUAAAGUGCAACCUCUGGGACCCAAAUAUAUAUGUUUUAAACCUUUUCUUUAAAACAAUCAUAUUUAUUGCAGGACCCAACAAUGGUGAUUUGAGUAUCUGCUGUUUGUUCAGAGAGUGCCUUACUGGAGGAAACUCCUUCAACAUGGUUCUAAUCUAAUGGUUCUUCCUUUCCCUCUGGCAAACUCUACAGAAGCACAAUGCAUGACUAGAGAAGGAAGAGACGCCAAUAAAGCAGAGUAUAUAUUCCUCAUUUUGACACUAUUUCAUUUAAUUGCUAGCCUACAGAAUUAAAUGAAUACUUGCGCUGUACUAUGUCGUAUCUAUGACCAUAGGAUCUCCCUGCACUGGGCUUGAAUUGUUCCCCUAAGAUGCUCUCAACAAGUAAACAUAAGAACGUAAGAAGAGCCUGCUGGAUCAGGCCAAUGGCCCAUCUAGUCCAGCAUCCUGUUCUCAUAGGGGCCAGCCAGAUGCCUGUGGAAAACCCACAAGUGGCCCCCAAGCACAACAGCACUCUUCCCUCCUGUGGUUUCCAGAAACAAAUAUUCAGAAGCAUUAAGGAGGCAGAGCAUAGCCAUCAUAGCUAGUAGUCAUCGAUAGCCUGGUCUGCUGUGAAUUUGUCUAACUCUCUUUUAAAGCCAUCCAAGUUG